CUCACUAAUCCAGUUGCUCCUGGUGCCAAGAUCAGGGUCCCAUGUGGAUCUGGACACAAAAUGGUGUUGGUUAUAGAGCCACCAAGAUUGUGAGUUGUGCACAAGGGGUAGUCUCUUCAAAACCCUAAGCCCAGGUAUGGGGCAAUGUAUAAUGGACAACCUGGUAUCUGGUAUUCAGUAGAUGGGCAUCCAUCAUGGUAUCUUAAGACAAUUAAGUAACACAGCUAUCAUCUGGUCAGACCCAGACACAGGUUAUUGGACCACAAGAGGUGAGUUCUGUAGUUAGGCACUUCCCAUUCUGUCCUCACGGGCGGUCGCUGUCUG